rnacentral:rRNA from 1 species
UACGAAGGGGGCUAGCGUUGCUCGGAAUCACUGGGCGUAAAGGGUGCGUAGGCGGGUCUUUAAGUCAGGGGUGAAAUCCUGGAGCUCAACUCCAGAACUGCCUUUGAUACUGAAGAUCUUGAGUUCGGGAGAGGUGAGUGGAACUGCGAGUGUAGAGGUGAAAUUCGUAGAUAUUCGCAAGAACACCAGUGGCGAAGGCGGCUCACUGGCCCGAUACUGACGCUGAGGAGCGAAAGCGUGGGGAGCGAUCCGG